UAGUUAAUGGUUUGUUUUAGAAUUCCUACGCUUUACCCGUGAUUAAAGUAGUGCGGCAAAGCGUUUGGAUUCUGAAACGAAACGUUAACAACG
rnacentral:pre_miRNA from 1 species